rnacentral:tRNA from 1 species
CUACUGGUGGCUCAAUGGUUAAAGUGCUUGGCUGUUAACCAAAAGGUCAGUGGUUAGAUCCCACCAGUUGC